rnacentral:rRNA from 1 species
UACGUAGGCAGCGAGCGUUGUUCGGAGUUACUGGGCGUAAAGCGUGCGUAGGCGGUUGUCUAAGUUUGGUGUGAAAUCUCCUGGCUUAACUGGGAGGGUGCGCCGAAAACUGGGUGACUGGAGUGUCGGAGAGGUAAGCGGAAUUCCUGGUGUAGCGGUGAAAUGCGUAGAGAUCAGGAGGAACACCUGUGGUGUAGACAGCUUACUGGACGAUAACUGACGCUGAGGCACGAAAGCGUGGGGAGCAAACAGG